CUGCACAUCAGUGCCGAUUUGACAUCAGCUUGCGGGGCACUUUAAACAUACCAGCUAAAGCGAGGCAACCCGCUC
rfam:Gallionellales bacterium RIFCSPLOWO2_02_60_31 rifcsplowo2_02_sub10_scaffold_2280, whole genome shotgun sequence.